AAGACCAUACUUGCAGGGACCAUUUCUAUGAAUUAUUAUGAAAGAUGCUUCUCUGAAUAUAUACAGCACCAGAAGCCACAGAAAUGAACUGUAGAGUCCCCUUCUGAGUGUGAAGUCCACCUUCAGUGUCACUUCAGGGCAAUUAUCAUUGCCACUGGUGACUGUUGUUCUUUUCCUUUGAGAAAUUAAGUGGGAAAAAUUCGGUCUGAGUGCU
rnacentral:snoRNA from 1 species